GCCCGAGUGGUGAAACUGGUAGACACAAGGGACUUGAAAAUUUGAGCCCUUCCGGGGAAACCCUGAAGGUGACGCCCGUCAAAUUCGGCGAACGCCCUGGAGUCAUUCCGAGCCAACGCCGAGCCAAGCCCCGGAAGGGGAAGGUGUAGAGAGCAGACGGCGGGCACCUAAGGCCUCAUGGCUAAGGUGAAGGCGUGCUCCAGACCACGAACGGCAGCUGUUAGCCGGCGGUGAAAACCGAAGUGGUAAGAAAAUCCCUCGACUUAACGGUCGUGCCGGUUCGAUUCCGGCCUCGGGCACCA
rnacentral:tRNA from 1 species